rnacentral:rRNA from 1 species
UACGUAGGUGGCAAGCGUUAUCCGGAUUCAUUGGGUUUAAAGGGUGCGUAGGCGGAAUGAUAAGUCAGUGGUGAAAUCUCGGAGCUUAACUCCGAAACUGCCAUUGAUACUGUCAAUCUUGAGUACAUUUGAUGUGGGCGGAAUGUGUCAUGUAGCGGUGAAAUGCUUAGAUAUGACACAGAACACCGAUUGCGAAGGCAGCUCACAAAACUGUUACUGACGCUGAGGCACGAAAGCGUGGGUAUCAAACAGG